rnacentral:lncRNA from 1 species
AAGACCUAAAGAGACCAUGAGACAGUCAACAACACAAAAGCAUGAGAUGCUCUGCAGCAACAGUUCUCCAGGGCUGAGAUCAAGUCGUAUCAGGAGAAUGUGCACAAGUUAUCUGCCAGCACUAUACCACUUCGCAGGAGUGGAGAAUCCUCAGGAGUCAUUUAUGUAGAGCGCUGGAAUCUAACUCCCACAGCUGUCUCCUCUCUAAUCCAACGCCCGUCAUUCGCACUGACAGAAGUGAACCUUCAGAAUCCAAGAGUCAUUCGCCAGAAAUGUUACAAGAGCAAAGUGUAGGAGUCUCUCACUCUGAAAACAAACAAGAACCUUUCCAGAGAGUUUGAUCAUCUUUUAAGAUUCGGUCCACACCAUCAUCCGCCCAUUUUCAGGAGAAGAAAAGUAAAUAAAGGAGGGAUACUUCACCCUGAAGCAAACAGAGAAGAGCAGCCAGCCUCCCGCGGAAGCUCUUCACAGUCUCCCAGGGAUUUCCAGUCAUGGCCAACAUCUUUGUUACAGGACGGAAUCCAGCAACCACUCGCAACCUUAGCAUAAAGCAGUAGCCAAGUCUUACGGGCUAGUUACGAAUAUCAGAUGUGCGGUGACUAUCCACGGGCUUAGAGUGAGUUGGGCAUAUUUAAGUUAUGAAAGAUGUGUUUAUUUCCCCUGGACCCCAAAUAAAUGUCAGCGACAGCUCCAA